CUGGUAUAUACUUUCCCCCAAUUUAUCUGUAAGUGCUAGCAUGAUUUACUUAAGAAAAAUAUAUUUGGAAAUUUCCACUUCCUCUUACAAGCUCUCUUAUGGGAGUAAGUACAGAAGAGGCUUUUAGAAGGUCGCACGUAUUCAGUAGGAAAAUUCAGGGACCAGAGGGCUGACAGCCAACCUCACAGGACCUGUUGUGACUUCCUGCUGGUGGGAGGACUCACCUGCACCAGGCCAGGCAGUCAACAAAACGGAGGCUUACCUCGCCUAAGGCUGGAGCUGGACAGGGUCUGCAUGCUGGUGAGGAAAGUGCGAUCUGCGUGUGGUGAGAAUAAUUCCCCUGAGCUGAAGGUGGACAAGUGGACGGAGCUUUUUGAGGUCCAGCUACACCCUCAGCAUUCAGUUUUCCCGGCGUUUCUGAGCAGGGAUGGUCCUCUCUGGGCUCUCACACUGUCUGUGAUUCAUCUUUGUGCCGGCUCCAUGCCCACACUUGCCCGGCUGAAUGUGGCUGAAGAAUAAUAAAUGCACCUGAGAUGAAUUCUCCCUUACCUUUCCAGGAGCAGGAUGCCAUCGGAGGAGGGUGUCCACCUCUCACGCGGACCACCUACAAGCAUCUCCAUAUCCUCCCGUCAAGAUCAGCCAAGCCGCUUCCCCUCCAGCACGUGUGUCUUAGACCCCUCGCCCCAGUUGGUCCAGGGACUUGCUCUAGGAAUGCUUCCUCUUUCUUCUCAUUAAUUAAUCUUCCCUAUCUAUAUGUAAACAUGCUGUUAUCUGAUCAUAAACAGAUAAAAAUCUCUAUUUUCC
ensembl:lncRNA